rnacentral:sRNA from 1 species
CUGGAUAUUUUUUAUGCAACGCAGUUAAAAGUUGCUCGAAAAAGAAUCAACGCCUACAAUUUUUUUUGCUUCUUGCUUCACGUCAGUUUACUUACGACAAGUAAUGGGUAGUAUGUACGCCGGCUAUUUCCUCACUCGGAGGAGA